rnacentral:rRNA from 1 species
UACGGGGGGAGCAAGCGUUGUUCGGAUUUACUGGGCGUAAAGGGCGCGUAGGCGGCGCAACAAGUCACUUGUGAAAUCUCCGGGCUUAACCCGGAGCGGCCAAGUGAUACUGUCGUGCUAGAGUGCGGAAGGGGCUACUGGAAUUCUCGGUGUAGCGGUGAAAUGCGUAGAUAUCGAGAGGAACACCUGCGGCGAAGGCGGGUUGCUGGGCUGACACUGACGCUGAUGCGCGAAAGCCAGGGGAGCGAACAGG